CGGCAAACGGGUGAGUAACACGUAUCCAACCUGCCCCACACUCGUGUAUAGCCUCCCGAAAGGGAGAGUAAUCCACGAUGUUGUGAACUUCCCGCAUGAGGAGUUCACCAAAGGUUUACCGGUAUGGGAUGGGGAUGCGUUCCAUUAGAUAGUCGGCGGGGUAACGGCCCACCGAGUCAAUGAUGGAUAGGGGUUCUGAGAGGAAGGUCCCCCACAUUGGAACUGCGACACGGUCCAAACUCCUACGGGAGGCAGCAGUGAGGAAUAUUGGUCAAUGGACGAAGGUCUGAACCAGCCAAGUAGCGUGAAGGAUGACUGCCCUAUGGGUUGUAAACUUCUUUUGUGCGGGAAUAACGUGCUCCACGUGUGGGGUAUUGCAUGUACCGUACGAAUAAGGAUCGGCUAACUCCGUGCCAGCAGCCGCGGUAAUACGGAGGAUCCGAGCGUUAUCCGGAUUUAUUGGGUUUAAAGGGAGCGUAGGCGGUGGAUCAAGUCAGCUGUGAAAUGUAGAUGCUCAACGUCUGCACUGCAGUUGAAACUGGUUCACUUGAGUGCGUAAGAGGUAGGCGGAAUUUAUGGUGUAGCGGUGAAAUGCUUAGAUAUCAUAAAGAACUCCGAUUGCGAAGGCAGCUUACUGGGCCGCAACUGACGCCGAAGCUCGAAGGUGCGGGUAUCGAACAGGAUUAGAUACCCUGGUAGUCCGCACAGUAAACGAUGGAUACUCGCUGUCGGCGAUAAACAGUCGGUGGCCAAGCGAAAGCGUUAAGUAUCCCACCUGGGGAGUACGCCGGCAACGGUGAAACUCAAAGGAAUUGACGGGGGCCCGCACAAGCGGUGGAGCAUGUGGUUUAAUUCGAAGCAACGCGAAGAACCUUACCAAAUCUUGACAUCCCGAUGAAAAGCUAUGUAAUGUAGCUCCUACUUCGGUACAUCGGUGACAGGUGGUGCAUGGUUGUCGUCAGCUCGUGUCGUGAGAUGUUGGGUUAAGUCCCGCAACGAGCGCAACCCCUAUCUUUAGUAGCCAGCAUUUCGGAUGGGCACUCUAGAGAGACUGCCAGGGUUAACCUGGAGGAAGGUGGGGAUGACGUCAAAUCAUCAUGCCCCUUAUGAUUUGGGCUACACACGUGCUACAAUGGCGUAAACAAAGAGAAGCGAUCCUGUGAGGGGGAGCAAAUCUCAAAAAUAACGUCUCAGUUCGGAUUGUAGUCUGCAACUCGACUACAUGAAGCUGGAAUCGCUAGUAAUCGCAGAUCAGAAUGCUGCGGUGAAUACGUUCCCGGGUCUUGCACUCACCGCCCGUCAAG
rnacentral:rRNA from 1 species